UAGGCGUCGACAUCGCCGUCCUCGCCGGCGACGCCCUCCCCCCCCUCGUCACCCGCUCCACCCUCCUCCGAGUCGUCCGCGAGACCACCCCGGUCGUCGGCUCCACCGGAGGCUAGAAAAAGGAAAUGGCUGCAAGAAACUCCUGAAGCAUCAAGUAACGACGAGCUUGUAGUCUUUGAUUCAUCAAUAAUAUCCUGGUGGGCAUGGAUCAAAAGAUAUCAUAUUCUCGAAGCUGAACUACUCAAUGGUUGGAAGGAUCAAGAUGAAAAGAGUGUACAUGGACCAAUGGCCAUGGGAUAUAAGGAUAUUAUACUGUUGAUAGUGGAAACAAUAAAGGAGAUGUUUGUCUUGCUUAUGAAGAUCCUUCUGCAGAACGUUUUGCAGGGGAUUCUACAAUAGCUAUGCUGUGAAAUUUCAUUUCAUUGUCCCGCUUGACUAUUCCAGACUAAGACAUGAGGGGCUAUCACAUCAAUGUUAUAAUGGUAGAAACUACACCUAGAGCUCCACCUGCAUAUGGUCAUAGGGGUGGUAGAGGAGGUGGUUGUGGAGAUGGUGGUGGAGGUUCAGGGCCUGAUAGAUACCAGCAUGGUGGUCACUGUUCCUGUCCAUAUUGAAGAAUGUCCGAUUAUCAUAUAAUAUGAGGGACGAUCUCUAGCAGUAACUCCUUUCAAUCUCUUGGCUUGUACUGAAAACAGGAGCCUAAGAAGCAGACGGAUGUAAUCUCCAGUAUGCUGGUUGGUUUUGAGUUUUUUCAGGUGAGUGGUGGUUUUUUCUCCUUCAAUGAAUCAUAUUAACAAACUAUUACAUUCCUUUAUGUUCAUUUACAGGGUGUAUGCUCAGGUUAAGGCGAGUCCUUUUACCUUGUCAGUCAGUCAUUCAACAUCUUAAAAAACCUGAUAACCGUGCUUUCAUGUUGAAAGAAUAUUUUCCUUUCUCAUGUUCACACUAACAAAAAAGAAAGUGACCUGUUCAAAAAAGAUAGAAGUAUACUAGGUGGAACCUCAGAAUGAAGCUUUGUGAAAAUGCUUCUAUUUUAGGAACAAUGUUCUGCUUAAUACCUGCAGGACCUGCAGAAGAGGUCCCUUGUAAGGUCUAUUAGUGCCAUCCAGUGAGAUCCCCAUCGGUUGGAGCGUUAUCCACUUACUCUUUGUUUUUUUUUUUUUGCCCCUGCAUACUAUGAGGAUAAUCGAGAGUUAUCAAGUUCUUUUCUUUUUGAUUUUCAUCUAAUAGAACUUGAAUUGUUUUAAUUGGUGUUUAUAUUUGCGCCUCUUCUAAGAGUAAAUUUUGGAUAGAUGGUGAGAAGCAUGUACUUGUACAAUCAGACGAGAUUUGCCUGUGCACAUGGAUUUUCAUCCUUAGAUAUGAAGUUUACUGAAUGUUAGACAUCCCAUUCAUGGUAACAGAGUUUCGUCAAAUGAAGGUUUCGAAAUGGUUUUCUCCAUGAAUGAUUUAUUGCCCUUAUGGUAAUGUCAAUAUCUUGAGAUUGGAUAAGAUAGAUCAUGCAGUUCGGUGGCUUGUCAUCCACACAUGCAUGUAUAAUAAAGCGCUAGAAGAUUAAAUUGGAUAGUUCGAUCGUAUUUAAGUCAUAUGUUCGCACGCAGAACUGGAAGAAUAAGUUAGAUAUGAUUGUGUAGGCUUACGUUUCUGAGGGGGUGGAAACGGAAUAUUUACUAGGCAACUUAUUGGCUAGACUGCAGAGAUUGACACUAUUUUCAAAUUGUAUUGCAUGAAAAUAUGGGUUCUUGUGUCACAUCGGUAAGCUGACUAAUACAAGAGCCAAUUUUGUCACAUAGAGGAAGAUUACAGAGAGUUUUACCCAAGGGCAAGGGGCAUUGAGGAUAUUCUCUUUUUAUUUAUAAAUAUUGUCAUCUUUUUUUUUUUUUGUGUGUGUGGGGGUUUUUGAGUUGUGUGUUGAGCUUGAGAUCUGUAAUCUCUUGAAUUUCUUCCCAUUAAAGCGUGAGAAGCUCCUGUACAAAAGAAUACAACAGUCCUUCAAGAUCAAAGAGUAAGGAGGUAGCGGCGAUUCUGAAGCAAUCUGAUGACUUAGAGAUGCUUUGUGGCCUGGGACAGCAAUGGAAUAUUUGAUCCGGAGAACUUUGUGCAGAGGUUUUGUUAAAAUUCAAGUGCAAAUGAUGAAUACAAGUUUAUGGGCAAUCUUAAUGGACGCAUUUAUGCUGAAUCCUUUUGUAAAGGGCAAUGAUAACUAUACUACAAACUCUAUGCUAAACAAAAACCUGAGUUUAUAUUUCUUUCUA